CAAGAUCACUUACUUAGUUGGAUAUAAAAUACUAGUAUUGGCUAGUAGCCUUCUUAUAUGGAGGAAGAGCUUAUAUCUUUCUUAUAUUCCCUCGAUGUGGGACUUAGUGAAGUCCAUAAACUUUAGAACUCAUCCUUCAUCUUGUUAUUUAUCUAAUUAUGAGAAAACAUAUCAAAUUUUUCUCUAAAUAAAAAGUUUGAACAUAUAUUAUUUGGCUAUGUUUAAACCAGGAGAAAGGUUGCAAGCUUUCUUAGAUACAAAGGUUGCAAAACCUUUUAAGUAGAAAGGUGAGCUAAUUGGGGGAUAUAUAUAGAUGUUGAAAGCAAGAAGGUUUCAAUACCUUUUCGAUGUGGGAUGAGUAGUGUAUUAAAAUGAGAGGAAAAAUACACAAACCACAUUGACUAAAUAAAUGAAGAAUAUUGUAAACAUAUAGAAGGAGCCAAGGUUAUGAGCAACAAGAAUUAAUUGGUUGUAGGCCCAGCUUCCCUUGUACACCCUUGAGUGCUUUGUUAGAAUUUCUUUUCUUUUUGUGCUUUACUUUGCUACCACAUUGAUAAGAAAAAUGAAACUUGAUAGAUAUAUAUAGAAAAGGAGCAUGGCCUUUACCAACAACUUAAGCUAUUUACAUACUGCCUAGUUGGUACUAGCUCUAAUGUCAUGUUUAUGUAAAAAAUUUUAUUUUCAAUAUUUCAUUUUCUUUCUAUUGGACUUGGUACCACAUCGAGAAAGCUUGAGAAAUUCUCCCACUUUCCUUGUAUAAAUACACCAAGCUAGUUGGCUUUCCUAAUUAGGAAACUGAAGGCUUUUAAUUUGAAGGGUUAAUAGUACCGAGGUUCGAGAUCGAGAAAGAAUUUAAAUUUAGAAGCGAUUUAAGGAAAGAAUUUUGGAGAAGGAUGUUCUGGAAAGGAUAAGAAUGUGAUGAACUAAGGUUUUAGUGGCAACGAGAGGCAUGUAGCAACUAAAGGAAGAUGCUAGUAUAAUAUGCUUGUGUUUGUGUUUAAGUUAGGAACUUAUGAUGUAAUCUUUUGUUCAAACUUGAAAACGUUGUA